rnacentral:misc_RNA from 1 species
AUUUUUUGGUCAAGAAGAAGACGAAGAAUCACCGACGAUAGACACCAUGGCAAUGUAUAUCCGUGUGAAGCGUAAUAAGACCACCUACUUUAUUCAAUGUGACCCAACUGAGACAGUUCUACAAAUGAAGGAGAAAUUGUCUAACCUCAUAGAUCAACCUGCUAAUGAUCAGCAACUAGUCCUGAUGCCUGCUGGAGAUGUGUUGGAAGACUCGAAGUCCCUAGCUGAUCAGAAGGUUGAAAAUGAUGCUGUGGUGGCGCUGACUCUGAG